AGGCAACCUGUGUACAGCUAGAUGCCUCUGGUGAUAGUUAAAGGGAGAUCUGGAACUAGAGAAUCCCUCCUCUCUCUCAUUGAUUGGACUCCUGGAGCUCUGCCUGGGACCUGGCUGUGGAUCUCUGCAUCUGCUUCCAUCAGUCACUGGAUGAGGGUUCUGAUGACAGUUAAGGAAGAAUUCCAGGAAAGACUAACGGAUGUAGGGACUGGCUCUGCUUUUGAUGGAGGGUCAGUUUCCGGCCUGCCCAGACUCAGCCCUGGCCUCAUCUUUAAGCCUCAGCCGGAAGCCUGUCAUAUGGACCUAUAGUUGCCACCACUAACCAGCACCCCUACCAAGUCUGCAUUCGCCAGUGCAGUAGAUCACAGAAGGUGAACGUGGCGUCUGAGACGCACACUUGGUGUGUGGAUGCAGGAUGCGGCAUCCUCUCAUGGCGUUCUAGCUAGAGACUGGCUUUCCUCAACAAACCGCCUAACAGAAUACCUGCUGCCCCCGGACUCCUAUGCAGGCUCCUCUCAGAGCACAGAAGGGGACAUGCAGGGGCCGCUAGUUCUGCAGAGACACAGCAGCCUCCACACAGCCAGGUCUACAAAUACUAUCUAACAACGCCAACCAGUGCUCCCUGCUGCCUCCCCAUCUCCUCUCGAGGCACAAGUCAAGUUUCUGAAUCUCGUUUCCGUUUGGCUGAAAACGGAGACCACAAUCUUCAAGCUUUCUGUCAAAGAAAAGAUGGCUGCUGUGCGUUAGCAGGGCUGGAGAGAUGGCGGGCAGUUCAGAGCACCUACUGCUCUUGCAGAAGACCCACUUCCGUUCCCUGCUCCCACGCUGAGCGGCUCACAACAGCUGGCAACUCCAGCUCCAGGGGAACCAGUGCCCUCUUCUGCCCCCCUGUGGGUGCUCUACUUAUAGCCACAUAGCCACACAAAUAAACGUGUAUAUACGUAAUAAAAUGAAUUAGCAAGCCUAAAAUACUCCUAUGUAGUGUCGAUGGUUUAUAAAACUAAAGCAGAA